ACCAGGCAUGUUUAGAAGCCCAAGAAAAUGGCGGGAUCUAAAGGGCCCAGAGAUGGGGCUGAAGACCCUGGGGAGGGUAGGCAGUUUGGUGAACUCUUUGCUACCCUGGAAGGGGUUUGUUCUGACUGUGUGACUUGGCUGGAGGGCCGAGUCAUUGAACAGCUGCCAAGUGAGGUCAGCAACAGAGGGGUGCAAAGAGUGGGGAAAAGCUUGCAGUACUUCACCCAGCCACUAGGAGGCACUCAAGGGGCUGUUGUUGGUUGGCUCCUGUCCUCGUUGCUGAGGAAGGGCUCCGGGAUCCUGAUUGGCCGUCUGCAGCGAAAGGAUCGAGUACAAUCCCAAUCAGAUGCUGCAAGGCUCAUGUGCUGAGCUUUAUCUUCAGGAAACUGGAACCGUCAUUUCUCAGAGAACAAACUGUCCAGAGGCAAAGUAAUCUUGAAUGACCAAGACAAACCUGAAGGAGGGAUGCACAAGCUGAAAAAUAAAGUAAUAAAAAUGCA